AAUAGAGAGAUGAAGAGAGGGAGUAAGAGAGGGGGAAGAGAGAGAGAGGAAUAGAGAGAUGAAGAGAGGGAAAAGAAAGAAAGAGGAAUAGAGAGAUGAAGAGAGGGAGAAGAAAGAAAGAGGAAUAGAGAGAUGAAGAGAGGGAGAAGGGAGAGAAAGAGGAAUAGAGAGAUGAAGAGAGGGAGUAAGAGAGAGAGAAAGAGGAAUAGAGAGAUGAAGAGAGGAAG